rnacentral:rRNA from 1 species
GACGAACGCUGGCGGCGUGCCUAAUACAUGCCAGUCGAGCGGACAGACGGGAGCUUGCUCCCUGAUGUUAGCGGCGGACGGGUGAGUAACACGUGGGUAACCUGCCUGUAAGACUGGGAUAACUCCGGGAAACCGGGGCUAAUACCGGAUGGUUGUCUGAACCGCAUGGUUCAGACAUAAAAGGUGGCUUCGGCUACCACUUACAGAUGGACCCGCGGCGCAUUAGCUAGUUGGUGAGGUAACGGCUCACCAAGGCAACGAUGCGUAGCCGACCUGAGAGGGUGAUCGGCCACACUGGGACUGAGACACGGCCCAGACUCCUACGGGAGGCAGCAGUAGGGAAUCUUCCGAAAUGGACGAAAGGCUGACGGAGCAACGCCGCGGGAGUGAUGAAGGUUUUCGGAUCGUAAAGCUCUGUUGUUAGGGAAGAACAAGUGCCGUGCAAAUAGGGCGGCACCUUGACGGUACCUAACCAGAAAGCCACGGCUAACUACGUG